rnacentral:lncRNA from 1 species
CUUGAAUCAAUAAGUUUUUGAGCAAAGGUUGAUUACUACUCAAAAAGUGCUAUUUGAUAACCUAUAAUUAAUCCUUUUAAACACUUUUGAGUAGUAGUUUAGGCCUUUUAACUCAAUUGGCAUGUUAAGGAUCCUUUAAAGCAAUUUUAAUCACUUUGUGCAAGUUUUGGUGUUUUUGUUAGUAAUUUGAUCACCAAAGCAAGUCAAGUCUGAGGAGAGCUAUGAGGAAUCUUGGGCAAACUUGAGAAGUCAUUUGCCAAGAGUAAAUCAGGAUUGCAAGGAGAAAAAGCAAAGAGAAUCUGCCAUAAAGCAUAUUCUUGAUGACAGUCGUAGCAGCCACUUUUGGAGCACUUUCUGAAGUCCAAAUGAUGCAUUCUAUAUACCAUUUCAAAGCUCAGGAAGUCAACAAUCCAAUGCUUCAAACGGUGUGCAAUUCGGAGUUGAAACGAAGAAGUUGCAGCCAUUACAAGCCAAUCACUCCGAGCUGAAGGAAGCAUUUUGCAAAGUGUUGCGAAAUCACCCUUUUGUUGUGAAGUGAUUUCGCAGCCUUUUUGAACAGUGUGAUGUUUCUCCUUCUGACGAUACCCGAUUUAUGCCGCGAGAAGGAAGCUGGGAACCUCAAGGUGGAAGCCAACUUCGCAGCCCUGUGAAGAUAGCUUGGUGUUGCGAAAUUAUUUCGCAGCCCUCUUGAGUGUCUGCGAAAUCUCGCAGACACCAUUUUUCUCCUGCGAAAUGGUUCUUGAAGCCUCCCGAUAUUUGCUACCGACAUUGGGAGAUAUUUUCCAUUAGAUUUUUGUUGUCUAAAUCCCAAAAUACUCCUUGUAAACCACCAAUUAUAUGAUUCCUUAGCUUUUAAGUUAGUAAAAAGACUAAAUAUCUAUGUAAUAUUUAGUUUUAUAUUAUGUACAUAUAUAUACCUCUCGGGAGCCUGUUCUCAGGGAGGAGUUCCUUCUGAAAAAGUUUGGGUAAGCAAGUAAAGUCUAUUUUCUUUCUACUGCCUUACCUUCUCACUUUGUAUUUUCAUUUUAUUUCUAAGUUAUGAAUUCUCUGAGGAGUUUUCCCCAGAGAAUGAGUAACUAAACCUCUAAUUCCUUGGAGCUAAGGUUGCCGGGGAAGGUUCCAAGUGCAAGAAUGCAAAGCUUUGUGGUUUUAGCUAUUAAUGAAGAGGAAGUGAAAUCCUUUAAUGAUUUCUAUGUUUUUAGUUAGCUUAAAACACCUUAGAGUCACCUGGGCCAACACUUGGUAAGGCAAGUGAUUUCCAACCAUGGAAAUGCACUAGUUUACCCCUUGCGAGCCUCUGGGAGGUGACUUCAAGGUAGGAUUUUCUAGAAUAGCCAACACUUGGUAAGCUUUUGGACUCCUAGGAGACAUCCAUUAGUUAUCUUUUGCGAGCUUUUGACGGGUAAUCCAAGGUUAAAGAUCACCUUGAAUGGUUAAGGCUUAGUGAGAGGCUUAAACCAUUGCAAAGUGCAUCAGUGAGAGAAUUAAAGUGAAAUCUAAUUGAAGGAGUCUCUGUAUAACACCGGUUAGAGAAUUGACUAUAUGUUGAAUCUCUAAUGCGAGGAAAUGAACCAUCUGACCGGAGCUAUGUCUUUUGCAUGAGGAACCACCCUAGUGAACCUAAAUCUCCAGGGAAUGCUUUUCUUCCUAAAUUAUUCCAAACUUCUGUUGUGUUAGUUAGUUUAAGUCUAAACUUUUACCAAUCAAAGUUUGUGUUUUACUUCUUAAGCUAACCAUGAAAUGAAACAAAACCAAUUCACUUGGAAUUGGUAUCAUUGAGAGCUUGUUAAUCUUUCCCAGUGGACGAUCCUAGAGCCACUAUACUAUAGUAGCUUUUUCUUUGCUACCCUAGUAUAUGGUGUUAUAGGUUAUAAAUUUUGUUGAUUACUCCCUCAAUCAAGGAGCACCAGCUGGACACAAAUCAGCUGAGACACCAAUUGGGCAUGAAUCAAAGGUGACUGCCCGAAGCAUGGCAAUGAUGUGCACUUUUGGCAAUUUAUGAGACUUAGAUAUACCAUUUUAGAGAAUGAGGCAUCCAUUAUCCAACGUGGGAAUUUUGGACCAUCAUACAGCACAAUGCUGAGUUUAUUCAAAUUUGAAUGAGGCUGUAGAGAGUCAAGGACAUCCAUUUCAUGUAUUCCAUUUUGUGAAUAAUUCAACUCGACAUUCCACUUCAUGGUCAAUCCUUCAAGGUUGUGCUUUGUAUUUAGAUUGGCAUUCCUUGCAUCUUGAAUAUUCUCUACUUUCUCUAAUUUUGAAAUGCAAAUUUCUCCUUCGAGAUGCGACGUAUCCCUUAAAUCCUUAAUUUUCAAACCAUCUCCUUCACCCAGAGUAAAAUUGGACAAUACUCACAACUCUUUUAAUUUUCCAAUUUGUGGAGGCAUUUCUUUUAAUUCCCAUGUACCAGAGAUAUCAAGAUACCGAAGAUUGAUUAGGUUCCCGAUGCUAGUAGGUUGGUUAAUAAGAUUCCUACAACCCAAUAAUAUUAGUGUUUGUAAAUUAUAAAGACUACUAAUGGACUAGGGUAACCACUUGAUAUAAGUCGUGGAAAAAUUGAGAUACCUUAAAUGUUUCAUGUCACCAAGUGAAUUUGGUAUCUCAUUUACCUGGUAACCACUCAAUGACAACACUCUUAGGCGUCUUAAUUUCAAGGCCAAGUCAUGA